rnacentral:lncRNA from 1 species
GCAUGUGGCUAUGUAAAUCCUUUAAGGAUAGUCUUUCGUCCCGUAGUGUAGGCCUUUGUAACGUGCUGUAAUGUGCUUUUCUUUUAAUGAAGUUCUCGUUUUCGUUCAUACUUGAGUUGUUCUUUCUCUACCAUGGAUGGAGUACUGAAACUGCUUUUCUUCGUAGCUUUAACUGAAAUUUGUUCUUUCCGAGCUGAACUAACUGUACUCGUGAGCCGGACUUCGGAUCCAUUUAGCCAACUGGGCUCUCGUAUUUCCAAACUGGGUUGCCUGACCGAUCUAUGAGCUUGGUCUCUACUUAGAUGAAUUGAGCUUUGAGUCGCCUUCAUCCGGGCUCUCAGGUGCGUUGUCCGAGCUAGACUAGCCGACCUGAGAGCUCUGUCUUUCGCUUAGUAAAAUGAGCUCUGGGUUUCCUUUAGCUGGCCGGGCUCUCAGGUCAUGUUGUCCGAGCUGGACUGUUCCGACCUAUGAGCUCGGCUUCUGAUGAGUUGAACUCUAAGCUCUCAGCUCAGCAUAGAUCCGAGGUACCCUUGUUUUAACAAGUCAAAUCUUAUAUAUUCUAUGUGAUGAGUAGGUCUAACCUUGGUGAAGUGAUGAAUCUUGUGGGUUAAGUUGUCUCGGCUAGAGAUCAGGUCUGAACAAGUUGGGCUUGCCUGGGCCUUUAAGUGAUGGGCUAUCAUUGUGGACCUAGCCCUUGAUAGAUGUAGACAAG